GCAGAACGCGAAGAACCUUACCAGGACUUGACAUGGAGGGACGGACGAGAGAUCGUUCUUCUUCCGCAAGGAAGCCCUCCACACAGGUGCUGCAUGGCUGUCGUCAGCUCGUGUCGUGAGAUGUUGGGUUAAGUCCCGCAACGAGCGCAACCCUCGUUUUAGUUUGCCAUCAUUCAGUUGGGCACUCUAAAGAAGACUGCCGCGAAUAACGCGGAGGAAGGUGGGGACGACGUCAAGUCAUCAUGGCCCUUACGUCCUGGGCUACACACGUGCUACAAUGGGCGUCACAGAGGGUCGCAAGAGCGCAAACUGGAGCCAAAUCCCCAAAAAACGUCCUCAGUUCAGAUCGAGGUCUGCAACCCGACCUCGUGAAGGUGGAAUCGCUAGUAAUCGCGGAUCAGAACGCCGCGGUGAAUACGUUCCCGGGUCUUGUACACACCG
rnacentral:rRNA from 1 species